rnacentral:misc_RNA from 1 species
GCCCAAAUAGCGCCCGCGUCGCCAGUGCGGCGCGCGCGCUAAACAGGCGUAUAUUGCCUGCAAAAUAAGGUUAACGAGGGCAACGAUAAACGUUCCCGCUUAACGUGACAUUCGUUUGUUUGCUUGAGCCCGAACCGUGCCAUGAACUUCCUGUCUGGCCUGCACGCUGGGUUAACAGGACUACCGUAUUGCCGCCCAUUUUAUAAGCUUUGUUUUUCAGAUCGUUACGGGCACCCGUUUCCAGGUUACUGUUGGAAGUCCAGCCACCGGUAAAGAAAUUCCCCUGGCUGCCCGUGAU